UACGUAGGGGGCAAGCGUUGUUCGGAAUUACUGGGCGUAAAGGGCGCGUAGGCGGCACGGCAAGUCGGGAGUGAAAGCCCGGGCUCAACCCCGGAGGGUCUUCCGAAACUGCCGAGCUAGAGUGCGGAAGAGGCAAUCGGAAUUCCCAGUGUAGCGGUGAAAUGCGUAGAUAUUGGGAAGAACACCGGAGGCGAAGGCGGUUGCUGGGCCGACACUGACGCUGAGGCGCGAAAGCCAGGGAGCAAACGGG
rnacentral:rRNA from 1 species